GAGAGCCACGGUACUACUGAGCGUGUCCACCGCCGCACCAUCCACCCCAUCCACUCCCACCCCACCAAACUCUCUCUCGCGAAACCUAAAAAAACUCUCUCACCAAUCUCACCCCACACCCCUCGGUCGAGCUACUCUCCCCCACGAUCUCCUCGCCGCCGCUGCCCACGCCGGCACGCUCGUCGCCGCUGCAACCGCCCACGCCGGCACGCUCGUCGUCGUCGCCGUCGUAUCGGGAUCUACCUCCUCAUCGGCUUCCUCUCCCCCAUGGUCGACCCCGAGCUCGACCCCUCCGCCGCCCACGACGGGCACGCCCUCCCCAACCGCGGAUCUUGCGAGUUCAAGCACUUCAUCAGGAGGCUCCCGGAGUUCAAGUUCUGGUAUGCAUGCUCCCGCCAUCCUGAGAUCUGCCCCCUCCCUCUCCCUCGCCAUCUGCCCAAAUAUUCUUUUUUUUAG
rnacentral:rRNA from 1 species